GAUGAACGCUGGCGGCGUGCCUAAUACAUGCAAGUCGAGCGAACAGAUAAGGAGCUUGCUCCUUUGACGUUAGCGGCGGACGGGUGAGUAACACGUGGAUAACCUCCCUAUAAGACUGGGAUAACUUCGGGAAACCGGCGCUAAUACCGUAUAACAUAUUGAACCGCAUGGUUCAAUAGUGAAAUGCGGCUUUUCUGUCUCUUAUCGAUGCAUCCGCGCCGUAUUAGCUAGUUGGUAAGGUAACGGCUUACCAAGGCAAGGAUACGUAGCCGACCUGGGAGAGGGAUCGGCCACACUGGAACGGAGACGCGGUCAAGACGCCUAAGGGAGGCAGCAGUAGGGAAUCUUCCGCAAUGGGCGAAAGCCUGACGGAGCAACGCCGCGUGAGUGAUGAAGGUCUUCGGAUCGUAAAACUCUGUUAUCAGGGAAGAACAAAUGUGUAAGUAACUGUGCACAUCUUGACGGUACCUGAUCAGAAAGCCACGGCUAACUACGUG
rnacentral:rRNA from 1 species